CUUUCUUCUGUCAUUGGAUAACCUGCCAAUUAAAUAUGAGUAAUCUAGGCCACUACAGAAUACACUUCCCACUGCGCUGAGAAGUAAGAGUUUACUGUCAUCAGCUGAUGCAUUGCACAAUGCUCUCCGAACUUCCUUCAUGAUCUCUGGGGUCAGUGCAUUGUUAUCUGAAGUCUGACUCGACAGCAAAAUAUGUGUGAAACCAUCUUCUUUCCGCACCACAAUGUCCCUGAACCGGCAGUUACUUUCAUUUUGACGCACGCUGUAUCUUAGUCUCUUAUCGAAGAC
rnacentral:lncRNA from 1 species